rnacentral:rRNA from 1 species
GACGAACGCUGGCGGCGUGCUUAACACAUGCAAGUCGAACGGAACGGCGCUGCUUGUGUGGGGUGCUCGAGUAGCGAACGGGUGAGUAACACGUGAGUAACCUGCCCUUGACUUUGGGAUAACUUAAGGCAAGUGGGGCUGAUACCGGAGAGGAGCUGCUGCUGCAUGGUGGGGGUUGGAGUGUUUCGGCGGUUGGGGAUGGACUCGCAGCUUAUCAGCUUGUUGGUGGGGUAGUGGCUUACCAAGGCUUUGACGGGUAGCCGGCCUGGGAGGGUGAACGGCCACAUUGGGACUGAGGUACGGCCCAGACUCCUACGGGAGGCAGCAGUGGGGAAUAUUGCACAAUGGGCGGAAGCCUGAGACAGCAACGCCCCGUGCGGGAUGACGGCCUUCGGGUUGUAAACCGCUUUCGCCUGUGACGAAGCGUGAGUGACGGUAAUGGGUAAAGAAGCACCGGCUAACUACGUG